CGCGCUCGGACCCGGGGCCGGCGCGGCCCAGCCCAGCGCGAGCCCCUUGGAGGGGCUGCUGGACCUCAGCUACCCCCGCACCCACGCGGCCCUGCUGAAAGUGGCGCAAAUGAUUUCCUUAUUCCCUGAGAAGCCAGCGUCAGCUCUCAACAUUGUUUGUGAAAAAAUCUACACUUUAAACGUUUCCUCUUAAGUUAUGAGAGUGGUACUUAACUAAAUAAUAGCACUUUGACCUCCUUAGGUGACAGCCACUAGGCUAGGUGGUUUAUGUUUUGUUUUGUUUUGCUUUUUGUUGUUCUUGUUGUUUGUUUUUGAGACAGGGUCUCACUUUGCCACCCAGGCUGGAGUGCAGUGGUGCUAUCUCUGCUCACUGCAGUCUUGACUUCCUGGGCUCAAGCGAUCUUCCUGGCUCAGCCUCCCAAGUAUUAACAAUUGGGGCUACAGGUGCAGGCCACCACGCCUGUCUAAUUUUUUGUAGAGACACGGUUUUGCCGUGUUGCUAAGGCUACUCUUGAACUCCUAGGCUCAAGCAAUCAGCUCACCUCGGCCUCCCAAAGUGCUGGGAUUGCAGGCAUGAGCCAUGGUGCCGGCCGGGCUAGGUGUUUUUUAUAUGUGUUACCUUGUUUAAUCCUCACAACAAUAUUAUGAGGUGGGUCGUAUCAUUAUCCCCAACUCAUCGAGGAAACUGAGGCACAGAGUCAUAAAUACUGAAGGUGGAUUUGGGGCCAGGUGGUCCAAGUCCACCACUUGAGCUCUUAAAAGGACAAUUUGGGGUCUUUUUUUCAUGAUCAUUAUGUUGUGUAUAUUUUCCUGUGUCAUUAAACACUGAAAAUGAUGUUGUGAUCACUGCAUUCAGUCCAUUAUUUGGUCGUACUAUAUAAUUUGUUCAUUUGGCUCUUCCUUGAUGGGCAGGCUGUGGCAGAUCUAGAAGGAGGUGCUAUGAGACAUAACAG
rnacentral:lncRNA from 1 species